ACGGAAGGCAGCAGUGGGGGAUAUUGCACAAUGGGGGAAACCCUGAUGCAGCGACGCCGCGUGAGUGAAGAAGUAUUUCGGUAUGUAAAGCUCUAUCAGCAGGGAAGAAAAUGACGGUACCUGACUAAGAAGCUCCGGCUAAAUACGUGCCAGCAGCCGCGGUACUACGUAUGGAGCAAGCGUUAUCCGGAUUUACUGGGUGUAAAGGGAGCGUAGACGGCGAGGCAAGUCUGAUGUGAAAGCCAUGGGCUCAACCCAUGAACUGCAUUGGAAACUGUCUUGCUUGAGUGUCGGAGAGGUAAGCGGAAUUCCUAGUGUAGCGGUGAAAUGCGUAGAUAUUAGGAGGAACACCAGUGGCGAAGGCGGCUUACUGGACGAUAACUGACGUUGAGGCUCGAAAGCGUGGGGAGCAAACAGGAUUAGAUACCCUGGUA
rnacentral:rRNA from 1 species